UGUUACCACCUGGUUUCGAACCUGGGACAUUCCGCGUGUGAAGCGGACGUGAUAACCACUACACCAUGGGAAC
rnacentral:tRNA from 1 species